ACACACACACACAGGUGCACUCAAACACACACACACACACACACAGGCGCACUCAAACACACACAUAAGCACACUCAUCUAAGACAAACAGACAAACCCUACAGGUAACUUUAGGCAGUUAUCUGUAUGUAAAUAGGGCCGUUUGGGGACACACCCCCACAGUGAGUUCCAGUGAGUCAGGAUGCCUUUCCCUCUGUGGCCUCCAGGGGGUAGCAUGGUACUGUGUGUGUUUGGGAGACUGGUGAUUAUGAAUGAGUAACAUGAUUAUUAACAGACACUAUGUCUCUGUGUGACUGAGAGAGGAUUCAUUCAUAAAUUCUACUGUGAGGUUGUGUGCGUGCUUGUGAGUGUGUGUUUCAGUUAAUUGUUUGACUAUUUGAUGGGCCAUUAUUAAAGAGUGGUAUUGGGAACCACCCCUUGUACACAUACACACACACACACAAUCUCUAGGAAUGGAAAUGAGAUUGUAGGACCCAGCUCUGUGCGGCUGUACAUGUAUGGGUCUGUAUUUUGUAGAUUGUUUUUUGAAUUAAAAUACUAAUAAUUAAUAACUGUCAUUUUCUCUGUGGGUGUGUUUGGAGGGGGGGGUGAACGUAAUGGAUCUCCUUGCUGACUUGUGUCCAAGGUCUGUCUGUUUAUUGAUACUGUCUCCCCCUAUUGGUCGUGGUGAGCAGUGCUCUUCAGUUCUGAAGCUCAGUCUUCACUCAUCGCCUGGUGAGGAGCUAUGAAAUAUGGUUCUCUUUAAGGUAUCAGAAAGCCUGGUGAGGAGCUAUGAAAUAUGGUUCUCUUUAAGGUAUCAGAAAGCCUGGUGAGGAGCUAUGAAAUAUGGUUCUCUUUAAGGUAUCAGAAAGCCUGGUGAGGAGCUAUGAAAUAUGGUUCUCUUUAAGGUAUCAGAAAGCCGUUGAACCAGAAACACACUGGAGAAACUGAUGGCCGAGGUAGGUUACUUAGCAACUCUGACUAAAAUGUCGGCCGUCCUCUCUUUCACAACCGGAGACAACCGUCCUCGCUUUCACAACCAGAGACAACCGUCCUCGCUUUCACAACCGGAGACAACCGUCCUCGCUUUCACAACCGGAGAUAUGUGUUUGACGUCGGCAGUUUGCUUUUUUGUGACGACAGGACCGCACUAAACUUUCAAGACCUCUGUUUCGCUGGCUUUUAGCUCAUUAAACACAUUUAAUCUUUAUUUAAAUGUAUUGCUUUUUUCACCACAUAAACAACUGCCAUCUUGCCUGAAAAUAAUAAACAUUAGUCUCCCCUCUU